AAGUCGUAACAAGGUUUCCGUAGGUGAACCUGCGGAAGGAUCAUUAUUGAAUAAGCUUUAGGUUGUUGCUGGUUCUUUGGGACAUGUGCACACCUAAUGCCAAUCUUUUUAUACCACCUGUGCACCUUUUGUAGACCUGGAUAUCUCUCGAGGAAGCUCGGUAUGAGGACUGCUGUGUUGUAAAGCCAGCUUUUCUUACAUUUCCAGUUCUAUGUCUUUUAUACACACCAUUAGUAUGUCUAUGAAUGUUUUAUUAUCGGACUUGAUUGUCCAAAUAAACCUUAUACAACUUUCAACAACGGAUCUCUUGGCUCUC
rnacentral:misc_RNA from 1 species